CUUCUCUCAUCUAAUGCAUUUACUACUUCUCUCUUAUAAUUCAUAUCUCGGGAACGAGCACAUAAAUUCUCUGUAAACAGUAGCUGGCGUUUUACCACCGCGCAGCCAAAUAAAAAGCACUCAUGGAAAAGUUCUUUGUAUCUGAACUAUGGUCUUCAGAAGAGAUGCCCGUGGAUGCUUAGUUGAAGAAUACUUUAUGUUCCUCCACAUACUCGAACAACAACGACAACGACAACAAAAGACUCUUUUGAUUUGUGUUUUAUUUUCUGGGGGCAAUUUUAACUCUCCAAGCAAUCUGAGCAACUGCAGAAUUUCUUAUUAAAAGUUACUUAAAAUAUAAUAAAUUAAAAAUGGUACUGCUCUGAUUAAAUAUCUAAAGAACCUCAAAUAAUCCUUGUAUUUUGCUAUUCACUUAAGCAGAUGAAGACUGCCUGUUUAGUCUUUUAUAGGAUAGCAAAAGGCUCCUGGGCUCUGACUGAGGCACGCUGACUGGGAAAACAUGAUUUCUGAAGACGCACUGUAUAUUGACAUUUUCUCUGCCCACAUUCCAUGUUGUCUACUGGAAAUGUCCUCCUAUUAACGUUUACGCAGAUGGGACACACCGCUGUAGGAAAGGAGAGAGCUUUCAAGAUCAUCUAGCCAUUUUUUAUAUAAAAAGUGACCGAGGUGCACAGACAUGCAGAGAUUUGUCUGGACACACACAGUGGUGAUGUCAGGACUUCCACCAGCACCCUGACUCUCUGUCCAGUGCUCUUUCUAUUUGCGUGGCAGUACGGAGUCCAACAGAGAAAUAUCUAAAAUGCCUCCUCCAGCCUCCAUCCCUAAUUGGGGAUGUUAUUUACAAAUGGGAAAUUGGGAGCAGUCCAGUAUGAUUAGGAAAUGAAGAUGUUUCUUUUAAGAUCAUGUGAAAAUGUUUUUAUAUAUUGAAACAGAAACAUCAAAAUUCAUUAAGAACAAAGCUCUGGCAUAUUAAUCUGUCUGCCAGUUCUCAGCCUAGUGUGAAUUCAUCUGCUUGGGGAAAAAACAAGAGUAAUAGAAGUUGAUAUCUCAAACUACAACAAAAGUUGCCACAAGACUUGUAAACAGAACACAAUUUGCAGGGGCUUCCUAAAUCAAAUUGGAACUGAAGGAGACCUUUAAGCAGCCCACUGAUGCUCUGCCACCCGCUGAACCUGCUGGGAGCACUUGGUGGCCUCAAGUUGGCAGAGUUUUUAUGAUCUCACUCCUCUUUCUCUCCUGCCUCACAAUACAUGAAAGUAUAUUAUUUCUGCCAGCCUAAAAUUUAGCAGUUUAUCAAUUACAUAGAAGUUAGAAAUUAUGAAAUACGAUCUUGAUAUAUCAAGCCGAUUGUUUUUGCAGCCAGCUGCUUCACUGAGUGCAGAACCACUCAGUUAUUCCAAUGCUGAUUGUUUUUUCUCACAUGUUAAUAAAAAUCCCAAAUAUUCUGGAGGAGAUAACGCUGAGUAGUGAGACACAGAGCACUAAAGGAAAGUUUUAACUGCUAAUAUUUAAAGUUUUUCUUUGGGAAAAACAUGGAAAAGUGAAAUGAUUUCUGAUUUGUAUAACACUUAAGUGCAUUUUGCUUGCCUUUUAGGCAAUUUAUUCCACUUAGCAUGCAAAAGCAUGUAUUAUCAUAAAUUAAAAUGAUUUUAAAAGAUGGAAAACUAGUGCAAAAAAGCAAUCCUUUAAAAAUGCACACACGAUUCUAGAGCAUUUAGAAAGACAAUUUUGGAAAUUUAAAACUAACAAGCUUUGUGUUAAUAGUGGUAUAAGCCUAUAAACCUG
ensembl:lncRNA